UACGUAGGGUGCAAGCGUUAAUCGGAAUUACUGGGCGUAAAGCGUGCGCAGGCGGUGAUGUAAGACAGGUGUGAAAUCCCCGGGCUUAACCUGGGAACUGCAUUUGUGACUGCAUCGCUGGAGUGCGGCAGAGGGGGAUGGAAUUCCGCGUGUAGCAGUGAAAUGCGUAGAUAUGCGGAGGAACACCGAUGGCGAAGGCAAUCCCCUGGGCCUGCACUGACGCUCAUGCACGAAAGGCGUGGGGAGCAAACAGG
rnacentral:rRNA from 1 species